UAGCUCAGCUGGUUAGAGCGCACGCCUGAUAAGCGUGAGGUCGGUGGUUCGAGUCCACU
rnacentral:tRNA from 2 species